rnacentral:rRNA from 1 species
AUUGAACGCUGGCGGCAGGCUUAACACAUGCAAGUCGAGCGGGGAAGGUUGCUUUGGUAACUGACCUAGCGGCGGACGGGUGAGUAAUGCUUAGGAAUCUGCCUAUUAGUGGGGGACAACAUUCCGAAAGGAAUGCUAAUACCGCAUACGCCCUACGGGGGAAAGCAGGGGGUCAUCGGACCGUGCGCUAAUGGAUGAGCCUAAGACGAAGUAGCUAGUUGGUGGGGUAAAGGCCUACAAAGGCGACGAUCUGUAGCGGGUCUGAGAGGAUGAUCCGCCGCACUGGGACUGAGACACGGCCCAGACUCCUACGGGAGGCAGCAGUGGGGAAUAUUGGACAAUGGGCGGAAGCCUGAUCCAGCCAUGCCGCGUGUGUGAAGAAGGCCUUUUGGUUGUAAAGCACUUUAAGCGAGGAGAAGGCUCCUUUAGUUAAUACCUAAGGAGAGUGGACGUUACUCGCAGAAUAAGCACCGGCUAACUCUGUGCCAGCCGCCGCCGUAA